GGUAUAUACCAGAAAGAAUGAAACAUGAAGGACGGACAAAACAAAACAUCUUUUGUUUUUUCCGUCCUUCAUGUUUUAUUCUUUCUGGUAUUUAGAAA
rnacentral:pre_miRNA from 1 species